AGCAUUGACAAAGGAUCUUUGGGGGAGAGUUCUGACAGGCUGGCGCACCGGCAGCUGAUUCCGAGUAAUUGGCUGGUGGACUUUUAAGAAGCACUGGAGCAGUCACUCAUCGCUCGAUGGUCCCACUUGUUGAAUCUGAUGAGCUGUUGGAAUCAAGCCAGGAACUAAGUCCGGACUUAGAGAUCGCUUCCUGCCAAUACCGAACAUCUCUGCCUGCCGCUCUCCUCCCCGCUCCAUCAUUGGUCUUCAGUACACUCCCGGAUCCUAGACUUUUCCCUCCGCGCAACUACCAUCCAAGAGACGAACCCGAGCUGACCUGCCUACCCGUUCUCUGGAGCACAAUCAGAUUUUAUUUUUUGGAAAGAACCUCCAUUAAACUUUCACUGAUCAGUAUUCUCUGGUUUUAUGUGUGAACUUGCAUGUGGGUCAAGAAACUAAAAUCC